CCUACGGGUGGCUGCAGUGGGGAAUAUUGCACAAUGGGCGCAAGCCUGAUGCAGCCAUGCCGCGUGUGUGAAGAAGGCCUUCGGGUUGUAAAGCACUUUCAGCGGGGAGGAAGGCGUUAAGGUUAAUAACCUUGUCGAUUGACGUUACCCGCAGAAGAAGCACCGGCUAACUCCGUGCCAGCAGCCGCGGUAAUACGGAGGGUGCAAGCGUUGAUCGGAAUUACUGGGCGUAAAGCGCACGCAGGCGGUCUGUCAAGUCGGAUGUGAAAUCCCCGGGCUCAACCUGGGAACUGCAUUCGAAACUGGCAGGCUAGAGUCUUGUAGAGGGGGGUAGAAUUCCAGGUGUAGCGGUGAAAUGCGUAGAGAUCUGGAGGAAUACCGGUGGCGAAGGCGGCCCCCUGGACAAAGACUGACGCUCAGGUGCGAAAGCGUGGGGAGCAAACAGGAUUAGAUACCCGGGUAGUC
rnacentral:rRNA from 1 species